rnacentral:tRNA from 1 species
GCGAGAGUGGCGGAACUGGUAGACGCACCAGACUUAGGAUCUGGCGGCCUGGCUGUGGGGGUUCGACUCCCCCCUCUCGCACCA